AUCUCUUCCUCAUUCUUUCUACCAAUUUAACAGAAAUUUAAGAAGAACAAAACUCUCUUACAUAACUCUUCUUUCUUCCUUCUGUCUUCAAUGUGCUCAAAUGGAGAUUGAUAAGUGAGGUAAAGAAGAAUCAGACAUCCAAAGUAGAAAACAUGGAGAAGAGAAGAAGAGGUACACAACAAUUAUAGUGGUUCGGUUAUAGAAGGCCUAUAUCCACUUCCAAGAUACGUUACGGAGAAGACGUGGAGGGAAUCGUGAAGAAUUUGGGAAUCUACAAAAGUAAGGUGUAAGAAGGUCUUCUUCCAUGGUGCAGCAGUGAUCUUCUUCUCCAAGUUUCCUUAAUCAAAACUUAUUUUGAGUCCCACAACUCAAUCUAAGGCACCAAAAAGAUAGUAGGGAAGGCCUUGAGGUGGAUCACAAGCAGAUUUGGAGGAGAUUUGCAGCUGGAGUCGAGAUUCAAGUGGUUCUUCAAAGAAUGAUGAGUUCAUUAUACAAUUGUUGGCGUCUGAUAAACUUAUUGGGGAUAAUUAUGCCACCUGGAAAGCAAACCUGAAUACUAUAUUGGUGAUAGAUGAUCUACGA